rnacentral:rRNA from 1 species
AUUGAACGCUGGCGGCAUGCCUUACACAUGCAAGUCGAACGGUAACGCGGGGCAACCUGGCGACGAGUGGUGAACGGGUGAGUAAUGCAUCGGAACGUGCCCAGUCGUGGAGGAUAACGCAGCGAAAGCUGCGCUAAUACCGCAUACGAUCUAUGGAUGAAAGCGGGGGACCGUCAGGCCUCGCGCGAUUGGAGCGGCCGAUGUCAGAUUAGGUAGUUGGUGGGGUAAAGGCUCACCAAGACAACGAUCUGUAGCUGGUCGGAGAGGACGACCAGCCACACUGGGACUGAGACACGGCCCAGACUCCUACGGGAGGCAGCAGUGGGGAAUUUUGGACAAUGGGCGCAAGCCUGAUCCAGCAAUGCCGCGUGCAGGAAGAAGGCCUUCGGGUUGUAAACUGCUUUUGUACGGAACGAAAAGGCUCUGGAUAAUACCUGGGGCUCAUGACGGUACCGUAAGAAUAAGCACCGGCUAACUACGUGCCAGCCGCCGCCGUAACAC